rnacentral:rRNA from 1 species
UACGUAGGUGGCAAGCGUUGUCCGGAUUUACUGGGCGUAAAGAGCGCGCAGGCGGUCAUUCAAGUCGCGUGUGAAAGCCCCCGGCUCAACUGGGGAGGGUCACGCGAUACUGAUCGACUCGAAGGCAGGAGAGGGAAGUGGAAUUCCCGGUGUAGUGGUGAAAUGCGUAGAUAUCGGGAGGAGCACCAGUGGCGAAGGCGACUUCCUGGCCUGUUCUUGACGCUGAGGCGCGAAAGCUAGGGGAGCAAACGGG